UGAUCAGUCGGGUUGCUGGCUAUAUUACAGGAUUUAUCUGGUCCUGGCUAUAACCAAAGCAUGACUGUAUG
rfam:Mus musculus chromosome 7, GRC primary reference assembly.